AUUGAACGCUGGCGGCAGGCCUAACACAUGCAAGUCGAGCGGAUGAAGGGAGCUUGCUCCUGGAUUCAGCGGCGGACGGGUGAGUAAUGCCUAGGAAUCUGCCUGGUAGUGGGGGAUAACGUCCGGAAACGGGCGCUAAUACCGCAUACGUCCUGAGGGAGAAAGUGGGGGGUCUUCGGACCUCACGCUAUCAGAUGAGCCUAGGUCGGAUUAGCUAGUUGGUGGGGUAAAGGCCUACCAAGGCGACGAUCCGUAACUGGACUGAGAGGAUGAUCAGUCACACUGGAACUGAGACACGGCCCAGACUCCUACGGGAGGCAGCAGUGGGGAAUAUUGGACAAUGGGCGAAAGCCUGAUCCAGCCAUGCCGCGUGUGUGAAGAAGGUCUUCGGAUUGUAAAGCACUUUAAGUUGGGAGGAAGGGCAGUAAGUUAAUACCUUGCUGUUUUGACGUUACCAACAGAAUAAGCACCGGCUAACUUCGUG
rnacentral:rRNA from 1 species